CUCCGAGUAAAGGCACAUUACAGUAGAGAAAAAAAAAGUGCACCGUUAAAUCAUACGACGCGUGUCUGAAAAGUUGCAGGAUCCCUGUCACAAAAGACGGAUUUCAAACCAAAUUUACAAACACUAGUUUUCACCUUCACAGGGGGCCAAACGUCAAGCGACGGCUGCUUGGGUUAGCACGCGAGAAGAUGCAAGAGUUGGACAACUGGUGACUUCUUCACCGUGACAACGAACACGUCCGAUCACCAGGCACACACUGCAAACGCAGCCGAGGUUCGACAAUGACCAGAUGUUGUUCAGGAGCUGUUUCACAUGGCGUGCAGCCCAUCCCAGCCGGCAUUGCUCCUUAAGUGCGGCUCAUACCCACUUGAAAUUUGAAUUCAUAAACAGCUUCACUUCUAAAGAAAACUAAAACCCACAUCAAGUUUGCAAUUAAAAAAUGGUGAAGAAGAGGAAAAAAAGUCUUUAGUCGUGGCUACUCUCCAAGGUUCCGCAUU